rnacentral:rRNA from 1 species
UACCCCUUUUGCAUAUCCAAUAGCGGAGGAAAAGAAACCAACAGGGAUUGCCUUAGUAGCGGCGAGUGAAGCGGCAAAAGCUCAAAUUUGAAAUCUGGCACCUUCGGUGUCCGAGUUGUAAUUUGAAGAUUGUAACCUUGGGGUUGGCUCUUGUCUAUGUUUCUUGGAACAGGACGUCACAGAGGGUGAGAAUCCCGUGCGAUGAGAUGCCCAAUCCUAUGUAAGGUGCUUUCGAAGAGUCGAGUUGUUUGGGAAUGCAGCUCUAAGUGGGUGGUAAAUUCCAUCUAAAGCUAAAUAUUGGCGAGAGACCGAUAGCGAACAAGUACAGUGAUGGAAAGAUGAAAAGAACUUUGAAAAGAGAGUGAAAAAGUACGUGAAAUUGUUGAAAGGGAAGGGUUUGAGAUCAGACUCGAUAUUUUGUGAGCCUUGCCUUCGUGGCGGGGUGACCCGCAGCUUAUCGGGCCAGCAUCGGUUUGGGCGGUAGGAUAAUGGCGUAGGAAUGUGACUUUGCUUCGGUGAAGUGUUAUAGCCUGCGUUGAUGCUGCCUGCCUAGACCGAGGACUGCGAUUUUAUCAAGGAUGCUGGCAUAAUGAUCCCAAACCGCCCGUCUUGAAACCACGGACCAAAA